GACGAACGCUGGCGGCGUGCCUAAUACAUGCAAGUAGAACGCUGAAGGAGGAGCUUGCUCUUCUGGAUGAGUUGCGAACGGGUGAGUAACGCGUAGGUAACCUGCCUGGUAGCGGGGGAUAACUAUUGGAAACGAUAGCUAAUACCGCAUAAGAGUAGAUGUUGCAUGACAUUUGCUUAAAAGGUGCAAUUGCAUCACUACCAGAUGGACCUGCGUUGUAUUAGCUAGUUGGUGGGGUAACGGCUCACCAAGGCGACGAUACAUAGCCGACCUGAGAGGGUGAUCGGCCACACUGGGACGGAGACACGGCCCAGACUCCUACGGGAGGCAGCAGUAGGGAAUCUUCGGCAAUGGACGGAAGUCUGACCGAGCAACGCCGCGUGAGUGAAGAAGGUUUUCGGAUCGUAAAGCUCUGUUGUAAGAGAAGAACGAGUGUGAGAGUGGAAAGUUCACACUGUGACGGUAUCUGACCAGAAAGGGACGGCUAACUACGUG
rnacentral:rRNA from 1 species